rnacentral:rRNA from 1 species
UACGGGGGGGAGCAAGCGUUGUUCGGAUUUACUGGGCGUAAAGCGUGCGCAGGCGGUUUUGUAAGCCAGAUGUGAAAUCCCCGGGCUCAACCUGGGAAUGGCAUUUGGGACUGCAAGGCUGGAGUGCGGCAGGGGAGACUGGAAUUCCUGGUGUAGCGGUGAAAUGCGCAGAUAUCAGGAGGAACACCGGUGGCGAAGGCGGGUCUCUGGGCCGAAACUGACGCUGAGGAGCGAAAGCGUGGGGAGCAAACAGG